rnacentral:SRP_RNA from 1 species
GCCAGGCAGGUGGCGCAUGCCUGUAGUUCCAGCUACUCAGGGGGCUGAGGUGGGAGGAUCGCUUGAGCCCAGGAGUUCUGGGCUGUAGUGCGCUAUGCUGAUCAGGUGUCCGCACUAAGUUCAGCAUCAAUAUGGUGACCUCCCGGGAGCGGGGGACCACCAGGUUGCCUAAGGAGGAGUGAACCGGCCCACGUCGGAAACGAAGCAGGUUAAAACUCCCGUGCUGAUCAGUAGUGGGAUCGCGCCUGUGAAUGGCCACUGCACUCCAGCCUGGGCAACACAGUGAGACCUCAACUCU